GGAGGGGGAUGAGACUGAACAGGAGAAAAAUCUUCCGCGGAGAAGAAGAACAGUGUUGGGAGUGGAGUUGAUGUAAGUAAAUGUGGCGACAACAAAAAAGGAGAAAGGAAGAAGGUUGCUGCUUACACUGAGUUUUUCUUUUUCUUUUUUUUCUUUCUCUCAAUUUUGUCCUUUUUCCCCUUGGGGGUCAUGAAUUGUCCUCUGGAAAUGGAAAUCGACCCCCGGGCAAUAGUAUUAUUUAUUCAGAUUAUUUUACCUGUGAUUCUUUAACCCCGACCGCCCCUCCUUCCUCGCUCCUCUGGGUGAUCUCGCGGAUUCUCCGUUUGUGGAGCGCAAUAAUAAGCUGUGUAGAAAGUGUGGGAGAUCUGGCAGAUGAAAUGAUGAUGAAUUCACAGCAUGGUUUUCCAGCAAAUUUCAGCAUAAAUGAACUGUUUCACGUGUUUUUUUUUGUUUCUUUGCUGUUGUUCAGAAUUGCUGUAAAAUCCAGAAUGAUUUAGUUUCCUGUUCGGGAGAAAACAGCUGUGCAUCGUACCACGUGGCAGUGGCAGUGGCAGCGAGAUCUGCGGCGAUGAACUGAAAUGAAUGCGCCCAGAUCUACUGGAGGAGCAGUACUCCUCCAUUAUUGGAGUUGGAGCUGGUUAACGCGCACGCCGUACUGCCCACGGCGCGUAUGCAGCCGACAACCUUUCAAGUGUCGGCAGCCCAGCGAAGUCCGAUUCCUGACUGACACCGACCUGCUGACUGUGCUGUGCUGUGCUGGUGCAUCGCUGUGGGUGGGCUUUCUGAUGAUCACGGAACGGAAGAAGCCAUCCUUGUGAAAUGAAAUGAAAUGAUGCCGCUCACCCACGCUCGAACGCACAGGUUUCCAAAAACCCCUUUGGUUCACAAUGGUUUUCUUAGUACGAAUUAUGUACUUUCAAAAAAUGUUCUGCGUGAGAAAAUGUGUCCAUCUUCCAUGAGGAAAAAGUUCAUGCGUGUGAAAAUAAUGUCCAUGUGUUGAAAAACAAAAACUGUCCACACAUAUGGAAGGGAAUGUUCAUGUUAACUUAGAAAAAAAAUUCAUGUAUAUCUUCUAAAGAGUUCACAUGAACACUUGAAACGUGUGAAAAAAGUAUUCAGGUGAUGCAAGAAAAAGUUUGAGCAUAUCUCAAUAGAUGUUCGGUUUUUCAAAUGUUCGCAUACCUUUUACAAAGUGUCCAUGUAUCUCCUAAUGAGAAGAAUAAAUAGAAAAAAGAAAAGAAAAUGAAAAAAUAAAGAAAUUUUAAACCAAAAAGAAAAAGGAGAAAAAUACAGAAGAAAAAUAACAAAAAUGGACACAAAAGAAACUAAAAAAGAAGAGAGAAAACACAACUCAAAGAAAGAAGAACAGAAUACAGUAUUGACGAGCUCAUUGUGCUUGUGCUUCAUCGAUAUCUAUCCAUGUGAAAUGAUGCCACCUCCCGAAACAGGCUCUAGCCCCGCUUUAUAAAUAAAGCAACCACCGAACCCAAGAUGGUGAGGUAGCCAUCAUACAAUGCCGAUCCCAAGAUAAUCGGAUCACGCAGAACGCACGUGACUACGCUACCGAGAGAGAGCACUGAAAAAACUAAGUACAAUGCCCUCAACACCUAACCUCCACGACAAUGCCCUAAACACCUAAAAACCUUAAAUGAUGCCACUUACCCACGCUCACGUGCAUGCACAUGUUUUUGGAAGUAAACCCUAAAGAAUUCUGUCCAAAAUUAUGAAUGAUCAGUUCUCCUAUUGCGAAACUUGAAUAGUACUUUUUCUAUGAACAAAACAUGAGUACUACUCAUACUGUUUCCUCUUCUUCUUCUUUUUUGAGUUGUGUUUUCUCCCUUUUUAAAGGUAUUUUUGGCUUUUGCUCUCCCUUUUCGGCUUCUCUUUAUUUUUCGAUUUUUAGGGCCUCUUUUCGUUUUUAGGUAGUAAUUAUUAUUUUAUUUUAUUUGCCAGGACAAGUGGUAUUGAAUUAGCGCAGAUACGAUUCCCCGUGCCGGUCAAUAGAAAUCUAGCAACGGCUCAAAACCACCUAGAUUUCUAUCAUUAUUUCUGUCUUUCAAAGAUUCCUUUAAAUUUCAAAAUCCAAGAUAUUUUUUAAUAUUUCAUGACUAUUUAACACUUUUUUUGCAAAAUGAAAAAUAUGAAACCUGGCUCAAAACUGGACACAAACCCGACCGAGGCUCGUCCCUUCCACCAGUGGGCCAGCCGAUAUUCGUUGUUUUUUCGUUCGCUGAAGCGGGUUCGCUGUGUUGGGUUCCCCUGGUCUUUUUUUCUUUUGUUUAUCAUUACAGUUUUCUUUGGUUUAUAUUUUUCAUCGUUUCCUUCAUUUUUAAUGGUUCUUACUGGUUUCCUUUGUUUCUUCACGGUUUUCUUUUCUCAUGUGUUUUCUUUGCUGAAGCGGGUUCGCUGUGUUGGGUUCCCCCGGUCUUUUUUUCUUUUGUUUAUCAUUACAGUUUUCUUUGGUUUAUAUUUUUCAUCGUUUCCUUCAUUUUUAAUGGUUCUUACUGGUUUCCUUUGUUUCUUCACGGUUUUCUUUUCUCAUGUGUUUUCUUUGUUUUGUUUUCUUUUUAUCCUCGGUUUUUGUCCUUUUUUCUUUGUUUUCCUUCGGUUUUGUUUGUUUCUUUCACAUUUUUCAUCGGUUAUUUUGUUUUCUCAAGGUUUUCGCUAUUUCUCUAUACACAUUUUUGGUAUACCUCUGAUAUAUUUUUCUAAUACAUGUUUAAUAUUUUCAAAUCCAAGAUCAAACUUUUUGAAUAGAUGGUCAACAUUCGUUUAUACAUAGUUAACAUUUUUCAAAAAUCUUGAUUAACAUUUCAUAGAUACAAGAUUAACAUUUUUUGAACACAUGGUCAACAUUUUUUCAAUACACAUUUAACCUUUUUCAAAUGCCUGGUUAAUAUUAUUUUAAAUACAACUUUAAUUUUUUUACAUGGUCAACUUUUUUCUAUACACAUUUAACUUUUUCCAAAUACAAGUUUAACAUUUUAUUGAAUACAUGGUCAAUAUUUUUUCUAUACACAUUAAAUAUUUUUUAAUGCUUGAUUAACAUUUUUCAAAUACUUGUUUAACUUUUUCAAAUAUUUAAUUAACAUUUUCAAAUACAUGAUCAACUUUUUUUCACACAUAUUUGUUUUUUUACCUUUUCAUUAUACAUUAGAAACAUUUUCUCUACAAACAUUAACAUUUUUCAAAUGUUUGGUUAUUUUUUUUCAAAUUUUUACAUAAUAUAUUUAUUUAGAAUAUUUGAAAGUAUAAAUGCAGUAAAAAAGAAAGAAUAUGAAAACAUUAUAAUAUAUUUAUUCCAAUAAAUAGUAUAAUACAUGGUUAAUAUUUUUUAUAAAUGCAGUAAAAUAAUUUAUAAUAUAUUUAUUUCUAUAAAUGCAGUAUAAUACUCCCUCCAUUUCUAAAUAUAAGACCUUUUAUAGAGAUUCCGAUAUGAGCUAAUUACGGAGAAAAAUGAGUAAAUCUACACUCUAAAAUAUACGUCUGUAUGUAGUCCGUAUUAAAAUCUUUAAAAAGAUUUAUAUUUAGAAAUGGAGGGAGUAUAUUCAUUAGAAUAUUUCUUGCUCUCAAGACCUCAUACAAUACCGAUCCCAAGAUAAUCCGAUCACGCAGAACACACGCGACUACGCUACCUAAAGAGAGCAUUGGAAAAACUGAGUACAACGCCACACAACACCCUAGACACCUAAGCUCCACGACAAUGCCCUAAACACCUAAAAACCUUUAAAUGAUGCCACUUACCCAUGCUCACGUGCAUGCACAUGUUUUUGGAAGUAAACCCUACAGAAUUUUGUCCAAAAUUAUGAACGACCAGUUCUCCAAUUGCGAAACUUGAAUAGUACUUUUUCUAUGAACAAAACAUGAGUACUGAUCAUAAUAUUUCCUCUUCUUCUUUUUGGAGUUGUGUUUUCUCCUUUAUUUAAAGGUUUUUUUGGCUUCUGCUCUUCCUUUUAGGCUUCUCUUUAUUUUUAUGGUUUUUAGGGCCUCUUUCUGUUUUUAGGUGGUAAUUUUUUUUUGCCGGGACAGGUGGUAUUGAAUUUAGCGCAGAUACGGAUCCCCGUGCCAGUCAAUAGAAAUUUAGCAACGGCUCAAAAUCACCUAGAUUUCUAUCGUUAUUUCUCUCUUUCAUGGAUUUCUUUAAAUUUCAAAAUACUUUCAAAAUCCAAGAUAUUUUCUUAUAUUUCAUGACUAUUUAACAUUUUUUUGCAAAAUAAAAAAUAUGAAACCUGGAACAAAACUGGACACAAACCCGACCGAGGCUCGUCCCUUCCGCUACACUAAAAGAAAAAGAAAAACUCGCUAUUUUAGGAAAGGGGCUGGCCCAUAGAGAGGCGCUGCCCGCCCCUUCGCUUACCACACCAAUGUUUGUUCCAUCUCGCCUAAGGAUGCCCUCCCACCAGUCGCUACCGGGCCAGCCGAUAUUCGCUUUUUUUUUUGUUCACUGGAUUUCUUGUGUUCGCUGUGUUGGGUUCCCCCUUUUUUUCUUUUGUUUUUAAUUACGGUUUUCUUUGGUUAAUAUUUUUCAUCAUUUUCUUCAUUUUUAAUGGUUCUUACUGCUUUCCUUUGUUUCUUCACGGUUUUCUUUUCUCACGUGUUUUCUCUGUUUUGUAUCAUUUUCUUUUUAUCCUCGGUUUUUGUCCUUUUUCUUUGUUUUCCUUCGGUUUUGUUUGUUUAUUUCAUGUUUUUCAUCGGUUUUUUUUCUCAAGGUUUUCAGUGUUUCUUGAUACACAUUUAACCUUUUUCAGAUGCCUGGUUAAUAUUUGUUUAAAUACAAGUUUACAUUACAUGGUCAACUAUUUUUUAUACACAUUUAACAUUUUCCAAAUACAAGUUUAACAUUUUUUGAUUACAUGGUCAAUAUUUUUUCUAUACACAUUAAAUAUUUUUCAAAUGCUUGAUUAACUUUUUCAAAUACUACCUCCGUAAAGAAAUAUAAGAGCAUUUAGAUCACUAAAGUGGUGAUCUAAAUGCUCUUAUAUUUAUGUACAGAGGGAGUACUUGUUUGACUUUCUCAAGCAUUUAAUUAAUAUUUUCUCAAAUACAUGAUCAACUUUUUCACACAUACUGUAUUUUUUUUACAUUUUUCAUAUACAUUAGAAACAUUUUCUUGAUACACACUUACAUUUUUCAAAUGCUUGCUUAGUAUUUUUUUCAAUUUAUAUAUAUAAUAUAUUUAGAAUAUUUGAAAUUUUAAAUGUAGUACAAAAGAAAGAAAAUGAAAAAAGUAUAAUAUAUUUAUUUCUAUAAAUAGUAUAAUACAUGGUCUAUAUUUUUUCUAUAAACGCAAUAUAAUACUCCCUCCAUUUCUAAAUAUAAGACCUUUUAUAGAAAUUCCAAUAUGGGCUACUUACAGAGAGAAACGAGUGAAUGUACACUCUAAAAUAUGUCUAUAUAUAUCUGUAUGUAGUCCGUAUUGAAAUCUUUAAAAUGACUUAUAUUUAGAAGUGAAGGGAUCAUAUUCAUUAGAAUAUUUCUUUCUCUCAACCCUCAUACAAUGCCGAUCCCAAGCUAAUCGGAUCAUGCAAAACGCACGCGACUACGCCACUAAAAGAGAGCAUUGAAAAAACUGAGUACAACGCCACACAACGCCCUAUACACCUAAGUUCCAUGACAUGCCACUUACCCACGCUCACGUGCAUGCACAUGUUUUUGGAAGUAAACCCUACAGAAUUUCGUCCAAAAUUAUGAACGAUCAGUUCUCCUAUUACGAAACUUGAAAAGUACUUUUUCUAUGAACAAAACGUGAGUACUACUCGUACUGUUUCGUCUUUUCUUGUUGGAGUUGUAUUUUCUCUUUUUUAAAGGUUUUUUUGGCUUUCUGCUCUCCCAUUUAUGCUUCUCUUUAGGUUUUUAGGGCCUCUUUUUGUUUUUAGGUGGUAUUUCUUUUUUGCUGGGACAUGUGGUAUUGAAUCAGCGCAGAUACGAUUCCCGUGUCGGUCAAUAGAAAUCUAGCAAGGCUCAAAACCACCUAGAUUUCUAUCGUUAUUUCUCUCUUUCAUGGAUUUCUUUAAAUUUCAAAAUACUUUCAAAAUCCAAGAUAUUUUUUAAUAUUUCAUGACUAUUUAACAUUUUUUGGAAAAUGAAAAAUAGGAAACCUGGCUCAAAACUGGACACAAACCCGACCGAGUUUCCAAAACCCUCUUUGGUUCACAUGGUUUUCCUAGUAGGAAUUAUGGAUGAUCAAAAUCCUUCGAUAAUAUCCCAGUAGUUAGGACUGAAUCCUACUCCCUCUGUUCCAAAAUAGAUGACUCAACUUUGUACUAAGUAGAUAGUAAUUUUCUCAUCAUAGAAUUAAUUGAGCCGUUUUCCUUGAAUUUUCCAUCCACCCAAACAUUUUGUAAAGACUUGUUUUCUGUGUGUUGGAAUCAACCAUACUCUGGUGCAAAUGAAAUCCUAUAGGGUUUAGAAGAACACAUGACAUUGCUAUCCCAUGAUUUCCUAUUUCUACGUUUUUGCAACCCUACGAAUAAAAAAAGAGGCUCUAACCCGACGAACUUUGUCCCAAAAUUGUGAAAGUUUUACCGAAAAGACACUUCUCGAAUGUUACUACUAAACAUGAGUAGUGCUCUUUUGGCAGCACAAAACUUAUGGUGCGUCUUUGUUUCUACAAAUUUGGAAAAUCUUUUUACUUCAUUAUUUUAUAUAGCCAGUUUUAGAAAGUAAAUAUAUUUUCCAUGUGUUGCAAAAAAAUGCCUACACUUAUGUACAACAUGUCUAAUGUAGUUUUCUUUCAGAAAAUUCUGCUUGAUACGUUUUUUAGAAUAUUCAUGUACUUUCAAAAAAUGUUCCGCAUGUGGAAAAAGUGUCCAUCUUCUAUGAAGAGAAAGUUUAUGCAUGUGUUGAAAAACAAAAAAGUCGACACACAUGAAAAAAAUAUUCAUGUUAUCUUAGAAAAUUUUCUUGUAUAUUUUUUGAAGAGUUCACAUGAACACUUAAAAAAAUCACUCGCUUUAAAGAAAUUCUACAUGUGAAAGAUGUAUUCAGGUGAUGCAAGAAAAAGUCUGAGCAUAUAUUAAAUUCUCAAUAGAUGUUCAUUUCUUUAAUGUUCACAUAUCUUUUAAAAAUUGACCAUGUACCUCCUAAAGAGUAGAAUAAACGGCAAAAAAUAAAAGAAAAAAGAAAAUAAUAAUAAUGUAAUGGUAAACUGACUAACACUGACCUGCUGACUGUGUUGUGCUGUGCUGGUGCUGGUGCAUCGUUGUGGGUAGGCUCUCUGAUGAUGAUCACGGAACGGAAGAAGCCAUCCCUGUGAAAUGAAAUGAUGGCACUCACCCCCUUUUGUUCAGAUGGUUUUCCUAGUAGGAAUUAUGGAGGAUCAAAAUUAUUAGAAAAUUUCCCUACAUUGGUUAUUUGGUUAUUAGGACCGGUGAAUCCUAGAGAAUUUUCUCAAUGGAUUAAUUGCACUAUUUUCCUUAGAUUUUCCAUCCACCCAAACAUCUUGCAAAUACUUUUUUUCCCUGGAGCCUUUGUAAACAGAAUAAGAGAUUUCAUUGCACAUAUACUGCUCCCUCGCCAGUAGCAGGAUAGGGUACCGUAAAAACCCUCUACUUCGGCCGCAGCUCGCGGGACGUGGAGCUGCUCAUCUGCCCUUGCUGUGAGGUCAACGACCACUGACCACCGCAUGUGCUCUAACGCUCACCCAGGCAGGGCUCAAUCUGCUUUGCUUCCUGGUCGUCACCCGCGUGCAGGAUGCAUUCCAAAAUAUUGGCCCACCAGAGCAAUUCCCUUUGUAAACAGAAUAAGAGCUUUCACCGCACAUAUACUGCUCCCUCACCAAUAGCAAUGUAGGGUACCGUACAAACCCUCUUUCCGUGUGUUGGAAUCAGUCAUACUCUGGCGCAGAUGAAAUCCUAUAGGGUUCAGAAGGACAUGACAUUGCUAUCCUAUGCUUCCCCAUUUCUACGUUUUUGCAAUUCUAUACGAAUAAAAACGGCUCUGACCGGAUGAAUUUUGUCCCAAAAAUGUGAACUUUUACCCAAAAAGACACUUCUCGUAUGUCACUACUAAACAUGAGUAGUACUCUUUUGGCAGGACAAAACAUGUGGUGCGUCCUUUUUUCUAUAAAUUUCAAAAAAUGUUUUCAUUUCAAUAGUUUUAUAUAGCCAGUUUUAAAAAGUGAAAAUAUUAUCCGUGUGUUGCAAAAGGAAAACGCCCACACUUAUGCACAACAUGUCUAAUGUAGUUUUCUUUGAGAAAAUUCGGCUUGGUAUGACCAAUUUUUUAGAAUGUUCAUGUUCUUUAAAAAAAAAAAGUUCUGCCUGUGAAAGAAAGUGUCCAUCUUCUAUGAGGAAAAAAUUCACGCAUGUGAAAAUAAUGUACAUAUGUUGAAAAAUAAAAAAUGUCCACACGUACGGAUUUUGAUUCAUGCUAUCCUAGGAAUUUUUCAUGUAUAUUUUUUACAGAGUUCACAUGAACACGUAAAAAAAUCAUGUACUUUAAAGAAAUUCUACUUUUGAAAGAAGUAUGUAGGUGAUACAAGAAAAAGUUUGAGCAUAUCUCAAUAGAUAUUCAUUUUCUUAAUGUCGAAUAUCUUUUAAAAAGUGUCCAUGUAUCUCCCAAGGGCAUGUCCAACACAAAGAAGUUUGUUCAGAUGUUUAUGGAUUAAUUGACGGGAUAGCAUCGGUGCAAGCGUCCAUGGUUCCAGCAAUGCAGGCGCUUACAUGACGUAAAAAAAACUGCCGAGCUCUGUGCAAAAUGAGACCCGACGGCAGGCUUCGUAUCGGUGCUGUAGAAGUGCAUGCUCUAGCCAAUGCAACCAAAAGACCAAUCUGAUGGAAGAGACUAGGCAACACAUUAUACGUCAAUAUCUCCCCCUCAUGUGUGGCUUCCUCAGGCCUAAACAUGGACCGAAAGUGGACUGCAAUUUAAUUGCGCCAGCCGGGUCUUGAACUCAAGACCUCUUGGCUCUGAUACCAUGUAGAAGUGCAUGCUCUAGCCAAUGCAACCAAAAGACCAAUCUAAUGGAAGAGACUAGGCAACACAUUAUACAUCAACAGGUGCGAGCCCAAAUCCCGAGAUCAGACGGGAUUGGCAUGAAACAACCGGGAAUUGAACCCUGGCACCCGUCAUAAGAGCCCACGUUGUAGAUGCCCUAAAGAGUAGAAUAAAUGAAAAUAUAAAUAAAAAAUAAAAAAUAAUACAGAAAUGGUAAACUGAAAAGAAAAAGGAGAACAAAUGCAGAAGAAAAUAACAAAAAAGGACACAAAACAAAAAAAAUAAAAAAGAGAAAACACAACUCAAGAAAAGAGAAAGAAAACAAUAUGAGUAGCACAGUCAAUUCCUAACUAACACUGACGUGCUGAUGUGCAUGCUUCAUCGAUAUCCAUACUUGUAAAAAUGACGCCACUUACCCACGCUCACGAACAUGCACAUGUUUCGGAAGUUAAACUACAGUAUUUCGUUUAAAAUUAUGAACGACUAGUUCUCCUAUUCCGAAACUUGAAUAGUACUUUUUCUAAGAACAAAACAUGAGUGCUACUCAUACUUUUUCCUCUUCUUAUUUUUUGAGUCGUGUUUUCUCCUUUUUAGGUUUUUUAGGCUUCUGCUCUCUUUUUUAGGCUUCUAUUUCUUUUUAGGGCCUCUUUCGUUAUUAGGUGGUAUUGAAUUAUCAUUUUUGCCGGGAUAUGUGGUAUGGAAUUAGUGCAGGUACUAUUCCCCGUGCCAGCGAUAGAAAUCUAGUAAUGGCUCAAAACCACCUAGAUUUCUAUCAUUAUUUCUCUCUUUCAUGGAUUACUUAAAAUUUCAAAAUACUUUGCAAAUCCAUGAUUUUUUAAAUAUUCAUGACUAUUUUAUGAGAAAUAUUUUUUUUCAAAAUGAAAAUAUGAAACCUGGUUCAAAACUGGAUACAAACCCGGCCGAGGCUCGCCCCUUUCGCUCCACUAAAAGAAAAACAAAAGGAAUGAACUCGCUAUUAUCGGCAAUGGGCUGGAGGAUAGAGAGGCGCUGCGCGCGUUUUUGCCUCGUACAUUGCAGGCCUUUUUGCAACCUGACGCCCGCUGCGUUAAAUAGCAAGGCAAACGCACUAGCGACUGGACCGACUCAGAAGUUCGCUCUUGAUUCGUCUCCCGCUUUUCAGAGCCCUCCUGCUCCGGUUUAGUGAUUUUUUAUUUCUUUCAAUUUUUCAGCAGCUACAUUCUUAUGCUUUUUUCUGAUUUUGUUUUAUCCUUCUAUUUUCCCUUCGCUUAUUUCUGGUUUAUUAUUUUCCUAUAGGUUUAUUAUUAUUAUUUUUCUGUUUCAUUUCCCUUUUUUAUUUUAUAAAUAGAAUUGCUUUACACCUAAUGUAUUUUCUUUUCAAAUACAUGAUAAAUAUUUUCUAAUUCAGGAUGAACAAUUCUAAAAUACUAGAUGCAUAUUUUUUAAACGCAUGGUGAACAUUUUGUUUAAUAGUGUUCAUUUAAAAAAAUUCUCAGAAAUUAAAAAAAGCUAACACUUAAUUUUUUUCAGUAUUCUGAAAAUAUUCAUUGUUUUAUGGGAAAAUCAAAACGUUGGAUUAAAAUCAGAGCAAACUAAAGAGACCAGACCGGGGAAAGAAUCAUAUAAAACCAAAUCUAUGCUCAUGCCGUGAACUGGGUGAACCCACAUGCACGUGCAUGUGGGUUUCCUGAACUAUUUGGUGCCAUUAGGUCUCAGAGAAUUAGAUUGCAAAACCCAGAAGUAGGGUUUCUUUUGUGGCCCAAAUAGAACUCCUCUGCAAGGGCUUAAUAGAGGUGGAGCGUCUAUAACUCGUCUACAACGAGCUGGAUGACCAUAUCCACGAGAGCUAUAUCUCGCUUCACGCGAGAUGGAAGAAGCUCUCGCACGAAGGUUUUUCCUCUUUCUGUUGUUUUUGGGCCAACCUAUUUUCCUUUUUUUCCGGUCGCUAGCUUCUCGUCGCACGAUCGCCUGUUUGUUUGUUUGUUUCUCCUGCUCUAGUUUUCUUCUGUUUUCUCUUUCGUUUUUCUUUGUUUCUCCACAAUUUUCUUUGUUUUUUUCUAUUUUCACCGUUUUCUUUGUUUUAGUUUGGUUUAUUUCCAUACCUUUCCUUCGUUUUUUGCUUUGCUUCUUUCUCCGUUUUUAUCAGUUCUUCUUUUCUAUCCUAUUUUCUUUGGUUAUUUUUCUUAGCUUUUAUCAGCUUUCUUUGUUUUUCUUUAGUUUUGUUUUGUUUUAGUCUGGGUUAUUUUCAUACAUUUUUCUUCGUUUUUCCUUUGCUUCUUUCUCCGUUUUUAUUAGUUCUUUUCUUCUAUCCUAUUUUCUUUGGUUAUAUUUUUAGUUUUUAUCCGAUUUCUUUGUUUUUCUUCAGUUUUGUUUUGUUUUGUUUUUCUUGAUUUCCUCAUGGGUUUUCACUAUUUUCUGCCUAGUUUCCAUUUUUCUUCGUUUAUGUGGUGUUUCUGUUGUUUUCUUAUUCCAUUUUUUUUCUAUUUUUACAGCUUUUCUAUUUUUCUUUUUUCUUCAACACAUGUCUAAUUUUUUCAAACACAUUUGCAAAGUUUAUGUUUGCAUCACGAAACAUUUAUGUUUGAUGACCUCUUUUUCAUACACACUGUAAAUUUUCGGUAUAUAUUAGGAACAUAUUUAAAGACAUGCCAUUCCUGGAAUAUAUGAUGAACAAUUCACUAUACAUGAUCAAUUUUUUUAAAAUUAAUAUUUUUAUAUUAAAUUUCUUAAUACACAUUCUACAUUUUUCAUAUACACCAGUAACAUUUUCUUUGUGGACGUUUAACUUUUUUGAAAUAGACGAUUAACAUUUUAUUUCAAACUGUUGUGUUUGAUGACUACUCUCAUAAAGAUUGUAAAUUUUCGGUAUACAUCAGAAACAUUUUUUAUACACAUUUAACAUUUGGAAAUAUAUGAUUAACAUUACAUGAUCAACAUUUUUGAAAAUUUUAUGUUUUUGCGUUCAUAGUUUUUAAUACAUGUUCUACAUUUUUUGUAUACAUCAGGAACAUUUUUUAUAUAAAAAUUUCGAAAAAUAUGUCUACUUUUUUCCUUACAUGUUGUACAUUUUUCUUAUACAUCGGAAACAUUAUUGUAUACAUCAGGAACACUUUUAUAUAAACAUUUUGAAAAUAUGUCUACUUUUUCCUUACACGUUGUACAUUUUUCGUAUACGUCGGAAACAUUAUUUUUUAUACAUAUUUACAUUUUUCAAAUGCGUGUUUAACAAUUUUCAAAAAUGUUGUAAAGUAUAUUUCUGUAAUAUACUCCGCAUAUGUUUAGAAUAUUUGGAAGUAUAAAUAAAAGUAAAAAAAGAAAUCAAAAAACAAAAAAAGUUUAAUAAAAUGGAAAGAAAAAACAAGGCAGUCGCUUCUCGCGCGGCUGGGCCGGACCAGCAUGGCGCUCGCUUCAGGCGAGGCUAGCAUUGAACUCGUGUCGAGCAAGGUAUAGUAUAGGCACGACAAAUAGUAUUUGGCGCGUGGGUCGCUUCCUACGACCUCGCACGUAGCCCCUGCUUCACGCUGCUUAUGUUGGUCCGGCCCAGCUAGCCAUUUCCGGGUUUUCCUUUUUUUUUUUCUUUCAUUUUUUCUCGUUUUCUUUUUCGUUGUUUCCUUUCUCUUUUAAUUCUCGUUUUUUUGGUUUUAAGGAUAGAUCCGAACGACCUUCGAUCGAUCCUCCCGUUUCCCCGCUGCCUCGUUAGAUCGAUCCUUCCGCUUGUCCCGCUUCCCCGAUUUUCUUUCUCACCCUGGUUCAUAGAUUUUUUUACUCGCCCGACUUUAUGCGAGUUAGUUUAGGUAGUGGAGAAAAAAAGUGCUUAAACGGGGAUUUGAACCCUAGUCUCCUGGACAAUUGAUAGAGAACCGCGAACGGGAGUUUGGUCAGCACAAGAGUUACACUCCACCACACUAGAAACCGCGUUAUGAGGGAAACAACUGUUAUGGAAGUCAGAAGUUUGGAGCUCCCGCAAACCACGGAAGCCACAAACCACACCACACCACUAGAGGACCGAACCCCAACUCUGCAACCAAGUCAAACCACUUGGCCAAGGAACACUACCGUGGCAAGGAGAAUCAGAACCACGAAGGGGCUGGUAACAACAACCGCCACUUCACACCAAAGAAGGACUUAAGCCAGGUACACUGUUACCGCGACAAGAAGAUGGGACAUUAUGCCAAUGAUUGCACUGUGAAGAAAGAAGAUGCACCAACGAAGCCCAACCCAAUCCAGAAGGCUCACGUCAACCACAUGAGCGUAGAAGAGUCACCGACGAACCAGAUGUUGUCAUGGGUAAGUUUAAUCUUAACUCACACCCAUCACUCAUUUUGUUCGAUUCUGGUGCAUCUCACUCAUUCAUACUGAGGACCUUCAUGGAAAAACACAACCUAUGUAUAGAAACCCUUACUGAACCUUUCAGAGUCGGUUCACUCGGGGUUGAGAUGAUUGCAAACUAGGCUAUGUCCAAACUACACUCAGGAUCAGGAAGCAUAACUUCCCCACAUACCUCAUAGUAUUGGGUGGCCAGGGAAUUGAUAUCAUCCUGGGUAUGGACUGGAUGAGCACUCACAGAGUCAUAGAUUGUGCCAGUAGGACCAUUAGACUUUCCGCCCCUAACGGAACGAGGAUCAAAUUUACUCUGACCGCAAAAUGAAGGGAGUCAAGUUGAACUCUCUUAAGGGGGUUAUCAUCGAGGACGUAUGGGUAGUACUAGAAUUCCUAGAUGUUUUUCCUGAGGAAUUGCCGGGCAUGCCACCUGACCGAGAUGUGGAAUUUCUGAUUGACCUGGUUCCUAGAACUGGACCAAUAGCCAUGAGACCAUAUAAGAUGGUUGUUGACAAACACGUGGAGAUGAAGAAGCAACUGAAGGAGCAGUAGGACAAAGGAUUUAUAAAGACCCAGUUGCUCACCCUGGGGAGCACAUGCUUUGUUUGUGACGAAGAAGGAUGGAACCUUUCGGAUGUGUGUGGACUAUAGGGACUUAAAUGAGAUCGCUAUCAAGAAAAAGUACCCUAUACCCCGCAUCAAUGAUCUUUUCGAUCAGUUGGAGGGAGCCAAAGUGUUCUCAAAGAUCAACUUGAGGUCUGGUUAUUUCCAGCUCAAGAUACAAGAAGUGGACAUACCUAAGACGACUUUCACCAUGAGGUAUGGUCUGUAUGAAUACAUGGUCAUGUCCUUUGGACUGACAAACACUCCUGGAUAGUUCAUGAACAUGAUGAACAAGGUAUUCAUGGAGUAUUUGGACAAAUUUGUGGUCAUAUUUAUUGACAACAUUCUGAUAUACAAGGAAUGAGGAGGAGCACGCAGAGCAUCUAAGGUUGGUUCUGCAGAAAUUGAGGGAACACCAGCUUUAUGCCAAAUUCAGCAAAUGUGAGUUCUAGCCAAGAGAGGUGGGAUUCCUAGGUCAUGUCAUAUCGGGAGAAGGAUUGCUAGUGUAUCAGUCCAAGGUGUCAGCAGGAACGAUUGGGUGGCACCCAAAAAUGUGGGCGAGAUCCGUAGCUUUCUCGGGAUGUCAGGUUAUUAACAUAAAUUCAUCAAGAACUUCUCGAAGAUACCUAAACCCAUGAUCGAGGUACUUAAGAAGGAGAAGAAGUUUUGUUGGGUGGAAGCUUGUGAAGAAAGUUUCCAGGAGUUGAAGUAGAUAUUGGUGACCGCACCUGUUUUGUGCCUACCUAACAUUGGGAAGCCUUUCAAGUCUACUGUAAUGCUUCGCACCAGUGACUGGGAUGUGUUCUGAUGCUGGAAGGAAGAGUAGCGGUCUACACCUCAAGGUAGUUAAAUAAGCACGAGGUGAACUAGCCGCCCCACGACUUGGAAUUGGUGUCGAUAGUCCAUGCCUUGAAGUAGUGGAGGCAGUAUCUUUUAGGCAAGGCCUGUGACGUGUUCACUGAUCACAAGAGUCAGAAGUACAAUUUCGACUUCUGAUAACUAUCAAUUUGGUGGAGACGACUUUGACGAUUCGACUACAAACGUGCACGACGUCGCACCUUAGCAAUUGCUAAACCAAUCCCUCGGAGGCUACUGACGAUGCCGGAAGCACGAUCAGCCUGACCACGAAGGUCUAUUCCUACAUGCAAUCAAAGAACAAGCAAGAAUAUGAUAAAGCAAUCUGAAUAUUGCGAAUAUAUAUGAAGUAUUGAUAAAGUGGGGAUCCGAAAGUGGUCUUGUCUUGGUCGUUUGACACAAACGAAGUACAUGAAGUUGCAAUGGCUAACUUUUAACUAAACAAAUCCUAAGCAAAAAACUACUAGAUUGAUCAACUUAUAUAGGAGCAAGGGGUGGAGUCCAAGGAGGUGGCAGGACGUCCCAAGGAAGCUUAAAACUAACCCUAGGUCGUACAAGGCCCAUGGGCCCAAGUGGAGGUGAUGCAACACCUUUACACUUGUAGUUUGAUUCGGAUUCUACUGCAGUGUCAGAUUGUUUCGUCAAUAUCUCCAUGCUCUGGACGAAUUUGAAGGUUAAUCCAAUUGGGUUGGAAAGUGCAUGAAAUAAACUUUCCAACAAAAAAAAAGAAUCACCCAAUUAGUCCGGAUGCAAAAGUCCUGACAUUUUGAGUCAGGUAUGUGUGAGCAGUCUGAAUCUGAGUCCAGAACGUGAGAGACUUGGACUCUAUCUUCUCUUGGGUUAUAAGUGACAUGAGAGAACUCCUUGAACACCACCUAAACGUUUCUUUUUCCCUUAUCUUCAUAUGUGGAUUGUACAAGUUUCCGGUAGUUUUGCAAGGCAUGAAAUAAAAGGAGGUGAAGUACUUUUGUCGUGAAUAACAUAAAUAAAUUAUUGAAUAGUUUGUGUUAGAAAUCACCUCAUAAAUAUGCAUGUAUGCAAUAUUUUUGGUGUAUCCAAGGUAGUCAUGUCCUCAUCAUCCUCCCCUUCUUGAAAAAAAGUCGUCCUCGGCAUUGCUUAAUCUGAAAUGUGGCUAACAAAAGAGACAAGAUGUACACAUUGUAUAUGUAUAUGUCAUCCAUUUUAUUGAUCUCAGUAGUGGCACAUGCGACACAUUUAGACAAGAGCACUCUUCAAAAGUCAUGAAAUAUAAAGCCAAAAUAUUAUCCCAAGAAGUCAAAGGCAUGAAUAUAUUGUAACUCAGUUUACACAUAUAAGUCAAGCUCUUAUUCAUAUCAAAAGGUUAGCAAUUCUCAUCAUUAAACCAUCCCAACAUUGGUGAAUAAACUUUAAUUGUUUCAGAUUUAGAUGCUACAACAUGCUUAAAUAAGCAAACAUGCAACAAGUUAUUUGACACAGAAUCAUCAAUAAGAUUAGAGGUCAUAUAAAAAUGGUUAAAUAUUGGCACAAUUAUCUUCAAACAUAUUUAAUCCAAAUCUGAUUUAUUUCUUGAUUCACAUGGUUCUUUCGCAUCAACAGUUAAUUCAAUGGUUGCACUCAAAAUUGUUGGUAGUUCAGUCGUUUGAUCACAUGACACGUUAAUAACAGUAGUACGAUUCACUAAAAUAGGUGUUGUGCUCAAAUCAAUAGGUAACUCAACACAUGAUGUAUUCAAGUCAACUAGGCAUUCAUCAUCCCCAUGUGAAGUUAUGACAUCAAUACCUAUAGUGUUACCUUUGUCGCAAUGACUCAGAUGAUGUAGGUACGGAUGAUGGUAUGUACCAUAGACUUGAGGCGAUGUCGUGCUCACAAUCUGAGGUGUGACCAUUCUAGCAGGUGCAUCGAGGGAGGAUAGAACCAGUGGUGGUGAGAAUGAACUGAAAUAGUAGUUGUCGUGGUCUCCCAACACAUCUUCCUGCAUUUGUCUCUCAAAGGUACACGCAAAAACAUACAUACCAGUAAUGCAACGAGGAAUAUACUGAAAUCUUGCACGAAUGUCAUGGUUCAAACCAUGAAAAAAAUCUAUUAUUUGCAUCAUCCCCGGAUUCUUCUAUGUCAAAGUGAUGCUUAUAAGAUUUGAACUCUUGGUAAUAAGCAUGAGCAGUGUUACUGCCUUGUUUUGAUUGUCCAAUUUGCGAAGCAAUUCACGAUGAUAGUAAGGAGGAAAAAAUUGUUUUCUCAUUACAACUUGCAAAUCUCCCCAACUUGUGGGUUGAUUAUCAAUAUUUUUCGUAUGAUACAUACUCCACCAAACGGAAGCAAAACCAGUAAAUUCUGGAGUGGCAGCUCGUACUUUCUCAAGUUCAGAAGAAUCAUGGCUAGCAAAAAUUUGUUCUACCUCAAGCUCCCAAGCAAGAUAAAUAGCAGGAUUAAAUCUACCCUCAAAUUGCGGUAAAGAGAUAACCUAACCAUAUGCUUGUGUGUGCUGUCGCACCUCUCGUGGUGGUGAAGACAUGUCCGUCGUCCAAUAACUUCUAUCUCCGGAACCUGUCAUGAUUAGUAGAAACAAGAAAUAAAAUUUGAGAAUAAUGUUCCUAUGAACUACUAGGAUGUGGUGGUAAAGCACUCACAGUAGAGCAAAUAUCAAUAUUUUACAAGUUCUUACCAUGCAGUAGGUGGUGACAGGCAACCAGCGGUGCCAAAUAACUCCGGAGAUUGAGUAAAGUGAUUUCCAGGGAAACAUACGUAUACACGGUGUAGAAAUAUGUGGAGCUUGGAAGGCUUAAAUAUAUGGUAGCAAAAGAUUAGCAAUAAUCAAUUCAGAGGUGCAAUGUUGAAUAAACGCUCAGCAACGGUACUGUGUUGGUCCUAUGCUAGACCGGACUAAAGAUGCGAGCCUAGAAUACAAAUGGGGUCACGACGUAGAACAACUAGUAGCAAUAAAGGAUAUGAAGUAGCUGUGGACAACAAGAUAUAAGUGAAGAUCACAAUGGCAGUAAAGAUAAUGAUGAGAAACAAUCGCGAAGCAGGAUAUAUACCAAAAACUCUAUCUCCAACUUUCCUCUGGAAAAGUCUGUGCCAAUUUUUUGAUAUUUUUCUCAAUAAUGGUACUAACUCAAGCUUUUCAAUGCUUUAAGAAUCACUCAAUUCCGAGUUCGUACAAGGAGUCGAAAAAUCCUAGAACUGGCCUGAAAAAUAGCAAGAAAUUGUGUUCACGAACUUCGGAGGGCAAAAAGUCCUAUUUAGAAGCCGAUUUGGAAGUCAAAAUAAUGAACUAGCUUUAUGAACUAUUCAGAUGUGGCUCAUCGAUAGCUUGAAUUUGAGUACUUGUGGAGCCAAAACAGACUUCGUAUGAGGAAGAAAUGCCUGUUUUACAGAAUAGUGCAUAAAAUAGAUUCCAAUCAGAAUUCAGGCACGAGAUUGGGUCUAGGUAGAUCCAAAAUUAGUUUGUUUUCUUCUCUCUUUUUUCCUCACACUUUUUUCUUUUUUCCUCUUUUUUUUUUUACUUUUUUCCUCUGUCUUUAUUUUUCUCUCUCUCUUUCCAAAACAAACUAGAUAAGAUGCAGAUUGGAUCAAGCGAAGAUGCGAACGACCUCAACUAUGAUCAUGACAAUGAAUGGUGGGUGGCACGUGGUGGAAAUUGAUGGAUGGAGGUGAUGGACAGUGGAAGGGAUAAUGAUACCACUUGAUAGAGGCGAGGGUCCCGAUCUUUCGAUGAGAUGAUAACUAUUAAUUUGGUGGAGACGACUUUGACGAUCCGACUACAAAUGUG
rnacentral:lncRNA from 1 species